CGCGAAGAACCUUACCAGGUCUUGACAUCCACAGAACAUUCCAGAGAUGGGAUGGUGCCUUCGGGAACUGUGAGACAGGUGCUGCAUGGCUGUCGUCAGCUCGUGUUGUGAAAUGUUGGGUUAAGUCCCGCAACGAGCGCAACCCUUAUCCUUUGUUGCCAGCGGUCCGGCCGGGAAUUCAAAGGAGACUGCCAGUGAUAAACUGGAGGAAGGUGGGGAUGACGUCAAGUCAUCAUGGCCCUUACGACCAGGGCUACACACGUGCUACAAUGGCGCAUACAAAGAGAAGCGACCUCGCGAGAGCAAGCGGACCUCAUAAAGUGCGUCGUAGUCCGGAUUGGAGUCUGCAACUCGACUCCAUGAAGUCGGAAUCGCUAGUAAUCGUGGAUCAGAAUGCCACGGUGAAUACGUUCCCGGGUCUUGUACACACC
rnacentral:rRNA from 1 species